UUUUGUUAGUCAUAUUCCUGAAUGCUAAGCUGUGCAUUGCUUUGCCGCAGGUGUGAGCUCGCGGCUGUGUUUCUGCUCAAGGCCCCAUGGAGCCUGACGUGACACACAUCUACUCCUCCUCUCCACCCCCGAUGGAGGACGGCAUCGAGGAUGAGGAUGACGAAUUUAGCGACUUCACCGGCGUCCCGAACAGCACCAGCUUCGACACGCCCACCACAUUCGACCAGUCUCAGGCUUUGAACGCCACUUCGCCGCCGGAGCUGCUGAGCAAUGGGAGGAUCGUGGGACUGUCCUCUCAACCCACAGGGUCUACGAAAGCUAACGGCGUGACGCCUGGCUCUGGCCAAACCGCCACGCCCAAUGGCAGAAUGGUUAGCGUCGAGGAACUCAAAAAGUUCAGCGAGCACCAAGCUCACAUCGCAUCCCUGGAGUUCGCAACGGGGUCUCGGACUGACAGUGACUGCAAUGGCACAGUUGAAGUGCUCACGAACGGGUUUGCGACAUUAGACCAAGGUGGAAGCCCACCUACGCCACACAAAACCAACGAAUUUGAUGUCAGUCCAGAUGAUUUUGCAGAUUUCUCUGCCUUUUCAAAUGCUGAACACAACCAGCCUUCAGAGACAGACUGGGAACAUUCUAAUCAAGGGUGUAUACCGCCACAGAAUGAUGCUAACGACAGCAUUGAAGAGCGAGGAACUAGUUUAGAAGACAAUAGCAGGGACUCGAGAAACGCAGGGUUUGGAUUCUUUUCGGAAAACUCUGAAAGUCUCAGCAACGGUGACUGGGGUUUCCAUGAAGGGUCGGAUUUAGAUAGAAGGGAGCUAGAAGCUGAUACUACUGAAGUCGUUAGCUCGGUGCAACCGCUAGCCCUUAAUGGUGUCACUUUUAGUGAAACCGAUGAGAACAGGGUGUCGCCUGACUCUACUGGGGAUAAGUCUAGUGGCAAACAAUCAGAUGAGAAAGGCUCAGAGAAUGAGACUUUAGAAACGGAAACGGAGACGUCCUUUGGUCGGCCGCUAUCGACAGACGCGCUCGAAGAAUUCGGUGACUUUAGCACGACGGGAUCCGUACCCUCGCCUNNNNNNNNNNNNNNNNNNNNNNNNNNNNNNN
rnacentral:lncRNA from 1 species